CAACAGGGAUUGCCUCAGUAACGGCGAGUGAAGCGGCAAAAGCUCAAAUUUUAAAGCUGGCACCUCCGGUGUCCGCGUUGUAAUUUUGUGAGGCAUCUCCGGGUGGGGCGCCGGCCUAAGUUCCUUGGAACAGGACGUCAUAGAGGGUGAGAAUCCCGUGCUUGGCUGGCUGUCCCCGUCCAUGUGAGGUGUCUUCGACGAGUCGAGUUGUUUGGGAAUGCAGCUCAAAAUGGGUGGUAAAUUUCAUCUAAAGCUAAAUAUUGGUGGGAGACCGAUAGCGCACAAGUAGAGUGAUCGAAAGAUGAAAAGCACUUUGAAAAUAGAGUUAAAAAGUACGUGAAAUUGUUGAAAGGGAAGCGCUUGAGACCAGACUUCGGUGGGGAGUGAUCAGCCGUCCUUCUGGGCGGUGCACUUGCCCCCCUCCGGGCCAGCAUCGGUUGGGACGGCGGGAUAAAGGUCCCGGGAAUGUGGCUCCUCUCGGGGAGUGUUAUAGCCCGGGUGAAUGCCGCCAGCCCCGACCGAGGACCGCGCCUUCGGGCUAGGAUGCUUGGCAUAAU
rnacentral:rRNA from 1 species